rnacentral:rRNA from 1 species
UACACUCCUGCGGGAGGCAGCAGUGGGGAAUAUUGGACAAUGGGCGCAAGCCUGAUCCAGCCAUGCCGCGUGAGUGAUGAAGGCCCUAGGGUUGUAAAGCUCUUUCACCGGUGAAGAUAAUGACGGUAACCGGAGAAGAAGCCCCGGCUAACUUCGUGCCAGCAGCCGCGGUAAUACGAAGGGGGCUAGCGUUGUUCGGAUUUACUGGGCGUAAAGCGCACGUAGGCGGACUAUUAAGUCAGGGGUGAAAUCCCGGGGCUCAACCCCGGAACUGCCUUUGAUACUGGUAGUCUUGAGUUCGAGAGAUGUGAGUGGAAUUCCGAGUGUAGAGGUGAAAUUCGUAGAUAUUCGGAGGAACACCAGUGGCGAAGGCGGCUCACUGGCUCGAUACUGACGCUGAGGUGCGAAAGCGUGGGGAGCAAACAGGAUUAGAAACCCCAGUAGUCCCA